CAUGAAGCUCAUUAAUUUUCUGAGGAUAAGUAUGUCGCACCCAAAAUAUUCGUCUUUCGCCCCUGAGAAACAAAAUUUCUUGAACAGAUUAUUGACUAGUUCGCAAUUCGGUGUGAGUUUCUGGACUCUCACCAGAGACUUAAUGGUGCAAAUUAUACAAACAAUGCAUUAUCUGAUUCCAUUAUAUGCAGGUAAAUAUAUUACAAUUGUGGAGCAUUCUAUAAAGACUUGGCAUACUUGGUCCAGUUGUGGUGGUGCUGUGGAGCUACAACUCACCCAUCCCCAACUUGUCGGGAUGCAAGGAUCUCCCCCUUCCCUGGCCCAUUCAGUUUGAACAAACAUAGCGCGCAGGACACUUAGGCUGCUCACUUUCGAAUGGAAGAAAAGACUACAAAGUAUGCAUAAGCUCGGGCAUGAGCUGGAAAAUCCUCUAGAUUCAAGCGGUAGCUGAGGCUUCCUUUAGUCCCGAUAACUGCAGUCUGCAUCACUUUAACAGGUGGAUAUUCUCUGGUAUUCACAUUUAUGUCUCUGGUAGUGUUGAUUCUCUCUGUACCAGGUGCCACCCCAACCAGGAAAUUCGGCCUUCGAUCAAGAUCUGAUUCCCAUAUACGAUCAUAGGGGUCAUCAGGGUACCUGCACGAGGCCGAGAACUUCUAUUCAGUCACAUUGCAAUGGUUCAAAGGCCGCAUCUCGAGAGUUGAUAUGAAGGGGGAGCCUGUGGUUGCGCAGCACACGCACACGUCCACAGAGUAGAGCUGGAACUUGGGGUACGCGCCUUGGCUCAUGGAGGCCCCGUACAAGAAGGUGGCGCGGACAAUGUAGCGCCGUCUUUCUUCAGUGGUGAGUGUGUAGCAGUACUUGUUAUUGGCACGCCGUCGCCUUGUUAUUG